GGAUUUUUUUCCUGCUACGUAUUUAUCAUUAAUAAUUAUUUAUAUUUGUUUUAACAAUAUAUAUAUAGGCUAUGUUUAUAAUUUGGGCUUAAUUUCGAGGAAAUUUAUUUUUAUUUUAUCAAUAAAAUAUAAGGCGUUAUCCAUAACGUCGGCUUGUCACGUGACGUCUUGAUAAGCCGUUACGUAAUGUUACGUCGACCGUUAGUUUUAAAAAAACAAACAAACAAAAAAAACUUCGAGCUAAAAUGCUAAACGCGGCUAAAAACACCGGAGUUUUAACAGCUAAUUAAAGACAAAGGGACGAGGAGCAAGUGGAUGUUAACUGGAAUCAAGCUCCCAGGCUGCCCCGGUCCGCUGGCCUAGCACUGCUGCCUCCUCCCGACAGAGUCCGGACUGAUCCUCAAGGGGGCUGGGAAGCUUCCAGCUGUGGAGCUUGCCUGGGGGGGCGAAAACCUCUUGUGAGACAACCAUGGAGGUGUUGAUCCACGUUGGGGCCAUGUGGCACUGAUAUGAACAACAGCAGCUCGAAGGCAAUCUGUACUGAGAAGCAUCCAGUCCAUUACACACAUAUGAGGCCCAUCACUCCUGCAGUAUUGACAAAUUCAUCAGGCAUUUUUCCCUGUGCUCCCUGAGCAGAAUUUAGAUUUGCCUGCCAUUCCCAACCCAGAACGGCCUUGUUAGAAUACAAACAUGACUUCUCCGCUCUUCAGCUUGUUGGGAGCUCUCACAGUGAUGAGCCAUUACCUGUCAGCGAAUAGAGCGCGGCCUCGAGUUUACGCUGAUUUGUCAAGAACAACACAGUUCCCACCAGAAAUGCAUUUGGCAUGAUUUGAGGUUUAAAAAGACGAGGCUGGUAUUAUAUUGUGCACUGACAUUGGGACCCUUUAAGUAGACUAUGUAGUUGCACAGGAAGUAUUGCAAUUCUGUUCAAUUCUGUUCAGUUCUGAUUGG